ensembl:lncRNA PART1 prostate androgen-regulated transcript 1
AAAGCUGAAAGGGCUGCACUGGAACAACACAGAUGAGAUAUUCUACACAUUAAUCUACUUAUCUGGAAUCACUUUGCCUCUAAAGGCCAGAGAAAAAUCACAGCUUCCUUGUCGGAGGGGAAAAGGACAGGUGAUCUGGGGAAAACGCAGCUACACCUGGAGCAAGGUCUCUUCCCGGCUUGGCAAUCUCAGCUGUGCCGGCGCUACGGGACCCGAGCCGUCCCAGAAACCAAAGGGCAGGCACGGCAGCAAACGCCUGAGGACUGAGAAGACGUCAAGGUCCAGACACUCGUCAUUAACACCUACUCACAACCGAUUCCCCCACCCACUUUGGCCUCACCAAGAUUUGGCAAGCAGGAGAAUUAAAUGUCACUUUGCUACCAUCCUCUGCUGAACCUCCAACAGAAAAACCCAUAUUGCCCAAGUACAAAGCAUGAAAUACUGCUGGCCUACCCUGACUUUUCAGCUAUUCUCCUUGCAUAUAGUAAAUGACUCCCCAGGAGACAUCAUCUUAAAGUCUGAGACACAAAAAAGGACCCAAAGUCCUAUAUGCUUGAAGAAUUGCAUGGCAAUAUAUUUAGUUAACAUUUUCUAUUUUAUUAGAAAAAACAGACAAUUCAAUUGUCGAUGUGAUCGUUUCAGGCUUCCCAGCCUCUCCUUUCUGACAUCAUCCUAUAUACUACAACCUCCACCAGAAAAGCAGUAUGGUACUGGGAAAAAGAGAUCUAAAGGCAGAACACUAGGGCUUCACUCUCAGCACUGUUAACUGAGUGACUUGACUAAGUCACUGAAAUUCACUGAAACUGCAGUUUCCCCUUCUGUCAAAGGGGGAUAACAAUAUCAGCUUCACAGGGUGCUGUGAAGGAAGCAAAUGAGAAAAUGAAAGUGAGCAUCCUUUUAAAUUAUAAACAGAGAAUAAGGGAGAGGGGAGGGGGAAGGGGAGAGGAGGAAGAAAGGAAACAAUCUGCCCUCCCUCACCCCUUCACACUAGGUAAAAUAAAAUGUUUAGACAGAAAAACCUAAAGAAAAGGAUCCAAAUAAAAUAUUCUUAGGAACUGUCAAAGGGAGAAGACAUUGGAAUCUCCAAAUCUGGCCAAGAGCUCAGCCUAAGCAGCAUGUUUUGAACUCCUGAGUCCUUGGAACCCUGCACUAAAGCUUUGGGACUCUGACCUGCAGGAAAAAAAAAAAAAAAAUGCUUCCCUCAGUUCAUUCCCUGUAGUUUAAAAACAAGAGCAACUAAAGGGCAAGCUUCGGGGGCAAGGGGAGACAAACACCUCAGACCAUUAACUUACUUUAUCCCCAUUGGAAAUCAACUUCUGGAGAACAUUUCAGCUUUGUAUGCUCUUCUUGGUCCCACUCAAAUGGGAAGUUCUGCUCGAGGCCAGAAAUAGAAAACAGGAAGUCAACAGAACUGAUUUUCCUAACUGCCCAAAUGCAAAUCACCACACUCCGUUAUGGAUGAGAAUUAGAGUAAAAUGUAAACUUCUUUUUAAAAAGAAGUUCACAUGCUAACUGUGUACAGAAAACAUCCUACUCCAGGGAAGAAAGAAAGAAAGAAAGAAAGGAAAGAUCCAUCAGCUUCCUUCCUUAAUAAAGGAGGAUUGACAGAGCUGGACUGACAGUGAAGUAAAGGUUACCGACGGUGUGCUCAUCAGAACCAUGCUGCCACUAAAAAUAAUGAAGUGUCCCACUUUGAUGCGACACUAUUCUCCAAGUUGGUUCCUCUAAAGGUGCUUUUCUUCAAGGGAAGCAGAUACUAAAGUGACAACUUUCUCAUUACCAUUCAGACUAUUUUCUUAGAGUCCCAGGUUUGAAACUUUCAAGUUGAAACUCUAAGCUGCACCCACUGCAUACAGACUUCUUAGUCAGUUUCUGUCACGUACCAUCAUAUCUACCUUAUUUGCAUCAGUCAUAAAUUCUGCUCAUUCUUCUAUCACAGCUCCUCUGACAUUUGCCAGACCUCACCAUUUCCUCAGCCAUUUCUGGUCUGAAUCAUCAGCCCCCCAUGCCUGCUGCCUGCUCUCUUCUAUAAACAUACCAGAUGAAUCUUUCCAGCAUGCUGCUUCCCCUGCCCCCAAGUCAGCCACAGUUCCCUACUACCUAUUGAUCACAUCUGAGUUGCCUCAGCCAGUGGUCUUGCCAUAUCUACCUAGCUUAGGCUGAGUGUUAUAGGAGAAAGUGCACUAGCCCGGGCACCAGAUGGAUCAGCCUGCCUUGUACUUCAUGCAGGUUGAACAGAAAUGUUUUCUGAGCAUGUAUUGUUACAGCCCUCUGAGAUGGUAUAAAAGAAUGAAAGAAGACACGACCUGCCUUCCAGGAGUUUCACAAAAAAGAUGGGAUGAACACAGAAAACAAUAUGGCCCAGUUCCUGGCUUUUGAAGAACUAGAGAAAAUCAUCAUCAUUGGUGCCUCCAAGGCUCUUUGGUUGGUUCUGCAAUCAUAGGAACCCUUACCUGGUCUCCUGAGACAUUCUCCUCUCUCCACACCAUAGUACAACACCACCCACACACCUGAUGGCAGAGCUUUUAGGGACGGGUAAAUUGAAGCAAAAAGCAGACAAGUUCUAUGGGAUUUGCUGGCAUUGAUUUCCCAGGAUGGCAAAGUGCUAAGAACUAAACCUUUAAAGCUAACAAAAUGUACUGAUGUCUUUGCAAAGUAUCCAAGACCAACAAGAAAGUAAUUUCCCACCUCACCCUACCACCACCCAGAAAAGGAGCACAGAGAUGGGGAAGAGAGUGGCUGCAUCUGGCAUCCAGCCAGAGGAGUCCGUGCAGGGAUUCUGGAUCCCUCUUCCCCCACCCCACUGCCCUUCCCCCUCCACCCCAGCGUUUUGGAGAAGCAAGAAACUGUGAUGAUGCAGCUCCCUCAAGUAUCACAUGAAGAUAGUGGAAAGAGCCUCCUGAGGUAAAUAUGCCAUGUAGACAGAAACAAGCAAUGGCUCAACAGCAAUGUAUGAGGUCCAAGGACCAGGACCAAAGGGAAAAACAGCCAUCUCACCAGACACCUGCCUACGACCAGAUGCGUCAUCUCCAAUAUUAGCUAACUCCCUGGAACCUGGACUCAAGGUGUGAAAUAAAGGUUAAUGGGAAACCGCAGGAGUCAAAAGGAGGGGGCAGGAUUAUUGAGGAUUCAGGCUGUUGAGAAAUGAAAGUUUGGAUCACUCCCCAGAUAAAGAACCUUGACCAUUUAAGGGCAAUGGAAAUACAGAAUAGGCAGUAGAAGAAGGAAGCCAUAGAUACCAACUAUGGCCUCUCAAUCAAUUACAAAACUGAGAAUUCUGACAGUUUUGUGUAUUUCCUCUUUGCAUGUGAUGUAUAUGUGUGUAUUUGUAUAUAUUAACCAUUUUCCUUUUUCUCUCUUCAUUAUUUUAUGAAAGUUGUUGAAUAUAAACUCUACAAUUUAGCCUUUAGGUAAGAGAAUAUUCAGUGGGACUUUGAUUUGAGGAGUAUUUAAGACAGCCAGAUGAGACUACGAUAACUGUUGGAACUGUGUGUCUCCUCAUUUGGGGAAAGGGGUGAGAACUCUGCAUUUCUCUGAAGAACAGAGUUGACUUUGUGUUAUACAGAGUUCAAAUAUAUAUAUAAAAUGGUGCAUGUGGAAGCUAAGAAGCCAAAGGAGUUCACCAAGACAGUUAUCAAUAUAUUGCCUCUCCGCUCCAAAUCCACCCUUCUUUGCCCUGUUCCACGAUACUAAUCUGGCUCCUCGGUCAGCCAGUGCAAUGUCAUCUGUUGCUGGUAGAGUGUAGGGGAGACACUACAAGGUAUAGUAAAGGGGUCAGAUGCGGUGUCUCAUGCCUGUAAUCACAGCCCUUUGGGAGGCAGAGGCAGGAGGAUCACCUGAGGCCAGGAGUUUGAGACCAGCCUGGACAACAUGGUAAAACCCCAUCUCUACUGAAAAUACAAAAUUAGCACGCACCUGUAAUC